CGCGCACACACACGCGCGCGCGCACACACACACAUCUAAGCACAUAUGUGCAAACACCCACACAAUGUAACUUUGCCCUCCUCAGAAACUCUGAAUGUCACAUCCACACGUAUCACAACUUAGUGUGUGAUUUACCCUCUGAGGCAAGACUAACGUGUAGUGUAAUAACCAUUUUAUUGGAAGGUUUCAGAUCUUUGCUAUUUUAGAAAUACCAUAGUUACUAAAAAUAUUCAUGCUGAUUAGGAUGGUAUUAUUAUAUAGAAGAACAGAUGGAAGAGAUUAGUGUCCUAAAAAGCAAACAACCAUACACUUCUCCUGCAUGUGCAUGAUUCUGUGUCCACAAGACACAAUGUGCACAUACAGCAAUCACAGCAGCAGUUCUCAUCACAUAUUCAGCAAAAGUGAAGAUAACAGCUCCGGUUACACCGACACAUCCAGCAAGGCAAAAGACUCCAACUUCUAUCCAGCGAAGUUAAAGGACCUACGCAAGAGCGAGUGAACAGGGAGGAGCACUCAGCUAAUGACUCCUCUUUGCGAUGGCAAGUUACAAGUCUUAUCCACCCAGCAGUGAUCGGAGUGAGCGCAUUCAAACCCAGGGACAAGUGGAGUCUUUGGCGGAUUAUCAAUAUUCCCUUGCCGUACCAUCAGGUCUAGAAAGUUCAAGCCACUGCAAGCAAAAAAUAUAUAUAUUUUAUUUUUA